GUGACUGAAAUCAUGACUGACCGAGUCAGUGGCUAGAAAAGGGGCUUUGCCUUUGUAACUUUUGACGACCAUGACUCCGUCGUUAAGAUUGUCAUUCAGAAAUACCAUACUGUGAAUGACCACAACUGUGAAGUUAGGAAAGCCCUGUCAAAGCAAGAGAUGGCUAGUGCUUCAUCCAGCCAAAGAGGUCGAAGUGGUUCUGGAAACUUUGGUGGUGGUCGUGGAGGUGGUUUCAGUGGGAAUGACAACUUUGGUAUUGGAGGAAACUUCAGUGGUCUUGGUGGCUUUGGUGGCAGUCGUGGUGGUGGUGGAUAUGGUGGCAGUGGGGAUGGCUGUAAUGGAUUUGGUAAUGAUGGAAGCAAUUUUGGAGGUGGUGGAAGCUACAAUGAUUUUGGCAAUUACAACAAUGAGUCUUCAAAUUUUGGACCCAUGAAGGGAGGAAAUUUUGGAGGCAGAAGCUCUGGCCCCUGUGGCAAUGGAGGCCUAUACUUUGCAAAACCAUGAAACCAAGGUGGCUAUUGGCGGUUCCAGCAGCAGCAGUAGCUAUGGCAGUGGCAGAUUUUA